rnacentral:rRNA from 1 species
GACGUAGGGUCCAAGCGUUGUCCGGAUUUACUGGGCGUAAAGCGCGCGUAGGCGGUCUGUUAAGUGCACAAGUGAAAGCUCCGGGCUCAACUCGGAAAUUGCUUUGCAUACUGGCAGGCUGGAGGGACGCAGAGGUCUGUGGAAUUCCCGGUGUAGCGGUGAAAUGCGUAGAGAUCGGGAGGAACACCAGAGGCGAAGGCGGCGACCUGGACAAGUACUGACACUCAACUACGAAAGCGUGGGGAGCAAACAGG